CCAGGCGGCCAAACGAUCGCAUGGCUUGGCCAUGAGGAAAGUCCGAGCAUCACAGGGCAGGGUGCCGGUUAACGACCGGUGGGGGCGACUCCAAGGAAAGUGCAACAGAAAUAAACCGCCCUGGCUAGCCAGGGUAAGGAUGGAAAGGCGAGGUAAGAGCUCACCCGCGGCCUGGUGACAGGCAGGCGCUGUAAACCCCACCCGAUGCAAGAUCCGAACGAGGCGAUACGGCUGCCCGCCGUGCCUCAAAGAGAUCGCUUGAGCCACGCGGUGACGCGCGGCCUAGAUAGAUGAUCGUUCAACGACAGAACUCGGCUUAUGACCGCGCUGGUUUG
rnacentral:RNase_P_RNA from 1 species